GUUCCGAGUAGAACGAGUUUGGCCGUGAAACGGUGAGGACUGCGCCGGUCGUCCGCCCGAUUUCGAGAGGUAGGUGCGUGACGUUGCGGAGAGCGGUCGUCGAGCGUUCGGGAGGAAUCAUCACAGAGAAGUCGACGGGAUCGAGCGAAUUCGCGCGGCUGGCGAAUCUACCGGACCUGCGGCAGCCGUCGGCGGGCAGAAACGGGCAGAAUCGAGCGAAGUACGCGAAGGCGCGUCGUACCUGUCGCGCCCAGCCGAGCGCGUGCACUUUGCGCGGGAAAGCGGCGGCAAUUGUCGGGAUCGAUAAGGACUCGCACGGGAAAAUCCGUUCUCGCUUGACUCGACCACACGCACCCGCUGGAAAACGCCACAGAGGUUCUCGAAAUGCUGGUAGCUUCGAUCUGCUGCGAAGUCUACGUUACGGUGUUGCCCAACACGACCAUGGCCUCGCGAGUACCACGCUGCUUGUUCGGCCGGCCGAGCUCCCGCGAGACCAUCGAGCUGCUCCAGGAGGCGUUGGACGAGGAGAGGAGCAAGUUCGCCAAGCGAUGGGGAGUGGAUCCCUGCGCCGAAGAUAAGGAGAACAAUUAUCAGAGACGGACCAACGAGAGGAGCGAGCCAGCGUGCAACAAAAAACGGAAUAGUAAUCCGUAUUCAAGGCAGACCAGCAUUCACGAGUACUGGCGAGCUCGAAAGAUGUGCGACGUGAGCAAAAAACCUUUGACGUCUUCGGUGGACGUGUCGAAGCAACAGAAUGUGGAGUCGUCGAAGGCGCCGAAGACAUCUACAAUGACGGCGAUCGCAUCGGCGGCGAAGACGAUGUCGCCGAAGAAGAUAAUGUCGCCGAAGAAGACGAUGGCGUCGAAGUGAAACAUGCAUCUUUAACGGUCGCUUAUGUACAUCAGACUUUAUCUAUGCUACCAGAACUUACAUAUUUAUUCCCUCGCCAUUUCCGAGCGUUAUUAUCAUCGAGUUGUUGAGACUUAUGGAGGUCUAGAUGGACUCACUAUCGUAGUAUAAUCGCCAUUUCCGCCUGAAAUGGUCGUUUUUUACGAUCGAUGAAUCAUCGUCUCGACUUGGAACGCGCUCGGGUUGGAGUUCUCGCUCCCCUCGACAGCCCGAGCACUCGCGAUUCACCGUCGUGUUGACAGCUUCUGACGGAUUUCGCGUCGCGUCUGUUAGAGAUUCCUUAUCAGCAAGAAUAGUCCAUCGAAAGCCUGAAACGGUCGCUUCCUGGAAGAAGCGGCGAUGCAGCACCUCCAAAGACUACCGAUUAUAAAACGCCAACUCGCAGCUCCGCACUCUCGUUACGCGAGAGACAGGAGAAAUUCCUAUAUCGGUUUAGGAUUAAGAAACUCUUCUAGUCAUUUAGUAAUUUAACGAAUAAUAAACUAUCGUGCUUUCAUUCA
rnacentral:misc_RNA from 1 species